CCUACGGGUGGCAGCAGUAGGGAAUCUUUCACAAUGGGCGAAAGCCUGAUGGAGCAACGCCGCGUGCAGGAUGAAGGCCUUCGGGUUGUAAACUGCUUUUAUAAGCGAGAAAUAUGAUGGUAACUUAUGAAUAAGGAUCGGCUGCCACGUGCCAGCAGCCGCGGUUACACGUAGGAUCCGAGCAUUAUCCGGGGUGACCGGGUGUAAAGAGUUGCGUAGGUGGUAUAAUUAGUAGCUAGUGAAAUCUGGUGGCUUAACCAUUAAGACUAUUAACUAAACUGUUAAGCUCGAGACCGUUAGGGGUAAGCGGAAUUUCUAGUGUAGGAGUGAAAUCCGUAGAUAUUAGGAGGAACACCAAUAGCGUAGGCAGGUUGCUGGGACGGUUCUGACACUGAGGCACGAAAGCGUAGGGAGCAAACGGGAUUAGAUACCCUUGUAGUC
rnacentral:rRNA from 1 species